GUGGAUAUAGCUCAAUGGUAGAGCAACCCAGCAUGAAUUGGGGAGAUGCGGGUUCAAUCCCCCCUGUAUGCA
rnacentral:tRNA from 1 species